UACGGAGGGGGCAAGCGUUGUUCGGAAUUACUGGGCGUAAAGGGCGCGCAGGCGGCUGCUCAAGUCAGACGUGAAAUCCCUCAGCUUAACUGGGGAACUGCGUCUGAGACUGGCAAGCUUGAGUGCAGGAGAGGAACGCGGAAUUCCAGGUGUAGCGGUGGAAUGCGUAGAGAUCCGGAAGAACACCGGUGGCGAAGGCGGCCUGCUGGGCAGUUGCUGACACUGAGGCGCGACAGCGUGGGGAGCAAACAGG
rnacentral:rRNA from 1 species